GGAAGGGCUGUUGCUCGGUAGUAGAGCGUGUGCUUUGUAUGCAAAAGAUCCCAGAUUCAAUCCCUGCCACCUCCG